CAGUCGCCGCGGUAAUACGUAGGGUGCGAGCGUUAAUCGGAAUUACUGGGCGUAAAGCGUGCGCAGGCGGUUAUAUAAGACAGAUGUGAAAUCCCCGGGCUCAACCUGGGAAUGGCAGUGGAUACUGGCAAGCUAGAGUGUGUCAGAGGAUGGUGGAAUUCCCGGUGUAGCAGUGAAAUGCGUAGAGAUGUGGAGGAAUACCGAUGGCGAAGGCAGCCCCCUGGGCCAAUACUGACGCUCAUGCACGAAAGCGUGGGGAGCAAAUAGGAUUAGAUACCCGCGUAGUCCCUGUCUCUUAUAC
rnacentral:rRNA from 1 species